AGAGUUUGAUCCUGGCUCAGAUUGAACGCUGGCGGCAUGCUUUACACAUGCAAGUCGAGCGGCAGCGCGGGGGCAACCCUGGCGGCGAGCGGCGAACGGGUGAGUAAUGCAUCGGAACGUACCCUGGAGUGGGGGAUAACGCCGCGAAAGCGGCGCUAAUACCGCAUAUGCUCUGAGGAGGAAAGUGGGGGACCGCAAGGCCUCACGCUCUGGGAGCGGCCGAUGUCCGAUUAGCUAGUUGGUGGGGUAAAGGCUUACCAAGGCGACGAUCAGUAGCUGGUCUGAGAGGAUGGCCAGCCACACUGGGACUGAGACACGGCCCAGACUCCUACGGGAGGCAGCAGUGGGGAAUUUUGGACAAUGGGCGCAAGCCUGAUCCAGCCAUGCCGCGUGCGGGAAGAAGGCCUUCGGGUUGUAAACCGCUUUUGGCAGGAACGAAACGGCAUCCCCUAAUACGGGGUGUUAAUGACGGUACCUGCAGAAUAAGCACCGGCUAACUACGUGCCAGCAGCCGCGGUAA
rnacentral:rRNA from 1 species